AAGACUAUACUUUCAGGAAUCAUUUCUAUAGUAGAAACUAGAGAAGUUUCUCUGAUCGUGUAGAGCACCCGAAGCCACGAGGAGGAGCCAGAGUGUCCUCUCCUGAGCGUGAAGCCAGCUCUAGGUACUGUUUCUGUAGCUGCCUUUUGCCAUUCAUGAUCGUUCUCCCUUUCCUCUGAAAAGGGUAGAGGGAGAGAAUGCAGUCUGAGUGGU